UCGGGAAUAUUGCGCAAUGGAGGAAACUCUGACGCAGUGACGCCGCGUAUAGGACGAAGGUCUUCGGAUUGUAAACUAUUGUCGUUAGGGAAGAGAAAGGACAGUACCUAAGGAGGAAGCUCCGGCUAACUACGUGCCAGCAGCCGCGGUAAUACGUAGGGAGCAAGCGUUAUCCGGAUUUAUUGGGUGUAAAGGGUGCGUAGACGGGAAUUUAAGUUAGUUGUGAAAGCCCUCGGCUUAACUGAGGAACUGCAACUAAAACUGGAUUUCUUGAGUGUUGGAGAGGAAAGCGGAAUUCCUAGUGUAGCGGUGAAAUGCGUAGAUAUUAGGAGGAACACCAGUGGCGAAGGCGGCUUUCUGGACAAUAACUGACGUUGAGGCACGAAAGUGUGGGGAGCAAACAAGAUUAGAUACCCUGGUAGUCCACACCGUAAACGAUGAAUACUAGGUGUAGGUUAUAUCAUGUAAUCUGUGCCGUCGCAAACGCAAUAAGUAUUCCACCUGGGGAGUACGGCCGCAAGGUUGAAACUCAAAGGAAUUGACGGGGGCCCGCACAAGCAGUGGAGUAUGUGGUUUAAUUCGAAGCAACGCGAAGAACCUUACCAGGGCUUGACAUAUACAGGAAUAAUUAAGAGAUUAAUUAGUUCUUCGGAACUUGUAUACAGGUGGUGCAUGGUUGUCGUCAGCUCGUGUCGUGAGAUGUUGGGUUAAGUCCCGCAACGAGCGCAACCCCUGCUUUUAGUUGCCAGCACGUAAUGGUGGGAACUCUAGAAGGACUGCCGGUGAUAAAUCGGAGGAAGGUGGGGACGACGUCAAAUCAUCAUGCCCUUUAUGUCCUGGGCUACACACGUACUACAAUGGCUGUAACAGAGAGAAGCGAAUCCGCGAGGAAGAGCAAACCUCAAAAAGGCAGUCUCAGUUCGGAUUGUAGUCUGCAACUCGACUACAUGAAGCUGGAAUCGCUAGUAAUCGCGAAUCAGAAUGUCGCGGUGAAUACGUUCCC
rnacentral:rRNA from 1 species